rnacentral:lncRNA from 1 species
UUCUUUCGAGUCCAAUCGCAUUAUUGGGCGAAGAUGAAUCUAAUAGUGUCAGUGCAUGUAUAGGCUGCGACGAUAACAAGACAGCUGCUCAUUGACAUGCAUUGAGAUCAAUUAUACAACCACCUGAAAAAUAUAACCGAAACUGCGACGUUUUGAGAGAAUGUCCUUUGUCUAGCUUCGAUACGAAAGACCUUCGCUUGAAAAGAAGCAAGAUGUCGUCGGAAGACGUCGAGUUGCAAAAUACGUUUAUAAGAUCAUAAACAACGUAAAUUGCCCGUAAUUUGCAGUUGAUAUAGGCUAUCUAGUAAGACGAUCACAACUGCACGGUCAAUCUCUUAGAGAUCCAACAUUAGAUUUACCGCCAGUAAGAACUGGAUGUGGCGAGACCUCGUUCAGAUUCUCGACUGCCAGAGAUUGGAAUUCUCUAUACCGAAAGAGAUACGAGAAUUAAAAACCCUUGUGCGGUUCAAGAAUGAAAUAUUUAUAUAAAUACUUGAUGAACAUGGAUGCUACGCACAAUUACGUGACAUGGACAAUUAUUUGCAUGGAUUAUACGCCCAAUUAUACAGACAUUUUACAUU